rnacentral:rRNA from 1 species
AUGGUGCAGUUCGCAGCAGCAGACCUCCGCCAAGUUAUGGACAAGAAAAAUAACAUUCGUAACAUGUCUGUGGUUGCUCAUGUGAACCAUGGCAAGUCCACGCUUAUAGAUUCUCUUGUCAUAGCUGCUGGGAUUGUUAGACAGGAGGCUGGUGAUGUUCCCAUGACUGAUACCCGUGUAGAUGAAGCAGAGCGUCGUAUUUCCAUCAAAGCCACCGGAAUCUCUCUUUUGUAUGAAAUGAAUGACGAGUCACUCAAGGCUCACAAGGGGGAGUACUUGAUUAACCUUAUUGAUUCACCUGGGCACGUUGAUUUUUCUUCUGAAGUCACAGCUGCUCUUCGUAUUUCUGAUGGUGCUCUGGUGGUAAUUGAUUCUAUCGAGGGUGUCUGUGUGCAAACUGAAAGUGUGCUGUGCCAAGCUCUUGGUGAGAUGGUUAGGCCUGUACUUUGUCUGAAUAAGAUGGACGAAUUAUUUCCUGGGCUUCAAGGUGAAGGUGAGCAAACAUACCAGAUUCUGAACAAUGCCAUUCAGAAUGCCAAUACCAUUGUGGCAACACAUGGAGACGCCCGCCUUGGAGAUGUCCAGUUCUACCCUGAGAAGGGAAAUGUGACAUUCUCUGCUGGAUUACACGGCUGGGCUUUUACGCUGACUAGCUUUGCUAAGGUGUAUGCUCCGAAGGUGGGUGUGGAAGAAUCUUAUAUGGUUAAGAAGCUUUGGGGCGACAACUUUUAUGACCACACCACAAAGAGAUGGACCAAGGAGAAGACCCGUUCCAAAACUUGUAAAAGAGGAUUUGUCUUGUUCAUCUAUGAUCAAAUCGAGAGAAUGAUCCAAGCCUGCAUGGAGAAUCAGAAAGAUGAAUUGUGGAGAAUGUUGCAGAAGGUUGGGGUGAACUUGAGGGAUGAUGAGAAGAACCUAACAGGCAUGGCUCUUGUGAAGUGUGUCAUGCAAACUUGGCUCCCAGCCAGUACUGCUCUGCUUGAGAUGAUGAUCUUCCACCUCCCCUCUCCAUUACAAGCACAGAAAUAUCGUGUGGAGAACCUGUAUGAGGGCCCCCUUGAUGAUAAAUACGCAGAAGCUAUUAAAAAUUGUGAUCCUGAAGGUCCUCUUAUUCUGUACGUUUCCAAGAUGGUCCCAGCAUCUGAUGUGGGCAGCUUCUUCGCGUUUGGUCGUGUCUUCUCUGGAAGGAUUGCAGCUGGCAUGAAGGUCCGGGUCAUGGGGCCUUCCUAUGUCCCCGGGCAUGCAACUGAUUUAUACGUGGAGUCUGUCCAGCGUACCAUUAUAUGGAUGGGAAAGAAGCAAUGUGACGUUCCGGAUGUUCCUUGCGGUAAUACUGUUGGAUUGAUUGGUCUGGAUGCAUGCAUAACAAAGAGUGCUACCCCGACAAGCGAGAAGGAGGUUGUUGCACGCCCAAUCAGAGCGAUGAAGCUCUCUGUAUGCCCUCUGAUGUUUGUUACAGUUAACUGCAAGGUUCCGUCUGAGUCUCCCAAACUUGUACAAGGUUUGAAGCGUCUGGCGAUGUCUGAUCCUGUGGUUCUUUGGAGCCAGGUAGAGCCUGGUACCUUUACGGUUGCUGGAGUGGGAGAGCUUCAUUUGGAAAUUUGCUUGAAGGAUCUACAGGAAGACUUUAUGGAUGGUGUUGAAGUUGUUGUUUCCAGUCCGCCUGUUGCUUCCUUCCGUGAGACUGUCCGCAAGUCUUGUGAUCCUGUGGAGAGGAAGUCCAGAAACAAGCAAAUCCAAUGCAGCUUGUCUGUGGUAGCCCGCCCCUUGGAUGAAAACCUAAUCGAGGCUAUUGAAGAUGGUCGCUUGGGUCCACGUACUGACCAUGCGGUACGAUCUGAGAUCCUUGCUAAGCAUGGUUGGGAUAAGGAUCUCGGUGAUAAGAUUUGGUGCUUUGGUCCUGAUGCUGUUGGCCCGAAUGUGAUUGUUAAUAGGUGCAAUAUAAUACAGAAUCUGGAGUUAGCGAAGAAAGUUAUCGUGGCUGGCUUUGAAAUGGUGGCAAAAGAAGGCGCAUUGGCAAAAGAAAAGUUGCAUGGCAUAUGCUUUGAGGUUCAUAAUGUUAAUAUACGUGCUGAUGAAGCUGUGAGAGGUACAACUGCUCAGCUCAAUGAGAUGGUUAGGACAGCACUUAUCGAGUCUCAGCUCGCCGCCAAGCCAAGGCUUCUCGAACCCACCUACAUUGUGGCGAUCCAGUGCCCUAAGAGUGCCCUCAGCACUAUCUACGGAAUUCUCCACCAGAGGAAUGGUUCUGUGUAUGAGGAGUUUGUGAGAGAAGGCACGAUGCUACACAUCCUGAAGGCUUACGUUCCAGUUUAUGAUUCCUUUGGCCUCUCCAAGGCAAUCAGUGCUGCAACAUCUAAGCUGGUCACCCCGCAGUGUAUUUUUGGAUAUUGGAGCGACAUGUGCUCUGAUCCUUUCCAGGCAAAUGCGCCAGCUGGGCAAAUGGUCUUGGAUAUCCGCAAGAGGAAGAAGAUGGGCAGGCCCUCUUUCCAGAAGUAG